rnacentral:miRNA from 14 species
CAGCAGCAGCAACAGCAGCAGCAGCAACAGCAACAGCAGCAGCAGCAGCAACAGCAGCAGCAGCAACAGCAACAACAGCAGCAGCAGCAACAGCAACAGCAGCAGCAGCAACAGCAGCAACAGCAGCAGCAGCAACAACAGC